rnacentral:rRNA from 1 species
GACGAACGCUGGCGGCGUGCCUAAUACAUGCAAGUAGAACGCUGAAGGAGGAGCUUGCUUCUCUGGAUGAGUUGCGAACGGGUGAGUAACGCGUAGGUAACCUGCCUGGUAGUGGGGGAUAACUAUUGGAAACGAUAGCUAAUACCGCAUAAUAGCAGUUGUUGCAUGAUAACUGUUUGAAAGGUGCAAUUGCACCGCUACCAGAUGGACCUGCGUUGUAUUAGCUAGUUGGUGGGGUAACGGCUCACCAAGGCGACGAUACAUAGCCGACCUGAGAGGGGGAUCGGCCACACUGGGACUGAGACAAGGCCCAGACUCCUACGGGAGGCAGCAGUAGGGAAUCUUCGGGAAUGGACGGAAGUCUGACCGAGCAACGCCGCGGGAGUGAAGAAGGGUUUCGGAUCGUAAAGCUCGGUUGUAAGGGAAGAACGAGUGUGAGAGUGGAAAGUUCACACUGUGACGGUAUCUAACCAGAAAGGGACGGCUAACUACGUG